CCUUUCUCCAAUCAAUGAAACUGAUCUUCCCGUGAAGAAGCGGGAAUUAAUCUAUAAGACGAGAAGACCCCAUGGAGCUUUAAACCCAAUUACACCUUUUCACUUUAAUCCUUUAUAAUCUUUAAGGCCCUGUACAUUUGGUUUUAGGUUGGGGUGACCACGGAGCACAAAUUAGCCUCCAUGAUGAAUGGAAUUAUUCCCUUAUCUAAGAAUUACAUUUCUAAGAAUUAAUAUUUUAACAUUUAAUGAUCCAAUAAUUGAUCAACGGACCAAGUUACCCUGGGGAUAACAGCGCAAUCCACUUCAAGAGCUCCUAUCGACAAGUGGGUUUACGA
rnacentral:rRNA from 1 species